GUGUGUCGUUCUCUCUGAGGUCCACGUUUCUUCAACACCUUUGGUCUUCAUUCAUCUGAGCAGUAAACAGUCUGAGGACGGAGAGAAGAAGGUGGACAUUAGAGUGUGUUUAGAUUUAAAUCGAUGACUUCACUUCAACUAAAUGAUCUGGAUCUCUGAGGUCCAGGUCGGAUGCUGCCCACGGUCUGGUCCACCUCAGCCCUGCAGCCCAUCUCUGCCCCAGCCUCAGCCUCAGCCUCAGCCCCAGCCUCAGCCUCAGCCUCAGCUGCCUGGGGUUUUAUGGCCCUGCACUGACGUGAACUCCCAGAACCAGCCUCGCUGCCCAUUCCUGUGGUCUGGACCGGAAAGCUUCUCUGUUGUGGAUGUAAAUUAUCCGUGGUGGCGCAGCAGCUGCGUUUUGAUGCGGCCAGGCCGAGAUUUUCAACUGAGAAACGGCCAAAAAAACACGAGCACGAGAGGGAAGUGAGUCAGAGCCAAAGUACCCAGAAAGGCGCCAGAAAGUGUGCGUAAAAUCCUGGAGGAACCCCGUGAGUGGGGGUCUCCCGGUGCUAGUGGGACGCAGACAUCGACCAGGCUCCCUCCAUCCUCCACACGGAGAAGGCGUAGCUGAGUCUUUCGUGCGCGACGUAGCUGCAGC